rnacentral:lncRNA from 1 species
GCUUAGUACAUUUUCUUCUUCGAUGAAGGCAAGUGAAUGUAGCGGUGGUUGCUUCCGUUCUGACCUGUUAUUUCUAUCGCCUACACUCUAAUAUUCAGAAGUAUCAGAUUCUUUCAUAAUUGGACUCUAUGGUGAUGCUUUACUUGCUUGCAUUAUACUGAUGCUCAAUCAUAUAUUGAUGAUGAUUAUGAUUUGAGUAUGACUCAUGAGAUUAAUUCACACCCCUGAAGGUAAAUGAAGUAUUAUUUGAGGUUGGUAUUGUAUCUGAAGGUAAAUGAAGUAUUAUUUGAGGUUGGUAUUGUAUCUGAAGGUAAAUGAAGUAUUAUUUGAGGUUUGUGUUGUAUCUGAAGGAAGUGAAGUUUAUUGAUAAAUGUAGCAUGCCAUAUACAUUGCAUGACUCAUUUGCAUAUGAAGUUUUGUCGUGACCUAUGGUCCGACCGUACCGGUACAACUUAGCAUCGUACGUUGCCCGAGAAGGGGUACGAUGCGGCUUCAUACCCUUAGAGGUAUGAAGGCAGAGGACAUAUGCAUUGCAUUCAUAUGCAUUCAUUGAAGUGAUAUUUGCAGAUGAUGUGGUUUUAUACCCCCAGAGGUAUGAAGAUAGAGUACCUACACAUUGCAUUCCUAUGCAUACAUUGAAGUGAUAUUUGCAGGUAUUGUUGACGCAGGGAAGUGUUAUAGAACCUAUUAUGGUUGUUCGAGGAAAUGAGAUGGUAUUGGUUAUAGUGGGACUACUGAGUUCUAUAUCUACAAGCAUUUCUGAUUUUUAAUUGUGACUCUUUUAAAAUGUUGAUGAAUUCAAUUUGUGGUUUAAAUAUCUCGUCAGAACAAUUAGCUUGCUGAGAUGUUUCAUCUCACUCUUGCAUUACUCAAUGCAGGUGCUUGUUGCUCAUCAAGGGGAGUGGGAAGUAGCAGCACAUCCACCUUCAUUCUCAUAAUAAUGCUGCCCAGACGCAGCCAUGAUUUAAUUAGAAACUUCUUGUCAAAGGAUGUUUGUUUUUAACUAGUCGUGCGCACUGAUUAAUUCAGUUCAUGUUGUUAUGGUUGUCUUCCCAUUGCUAGCAGAUUAUUAAUGUCUUAUAUGUUUUCUUAUCAUGAUAUCUAUUUAUACUUUGUUGCUUCCCCCGUUUAUGCAAUUUUCAAAGGAGAUGCUGUCGAAAUUUUAUAUAUGAAUAUUAGAUGUGUAGUUCAGUAGCAUUCUGGGGUGUUUGUGGAUCCCGGGGUGUUACAGUUGGUAUCAAAGCAUAGGCUUUAGAUUCUUGGCAAUUUGAAGAUAAAUUUGACACACUUGCACAUAUAGGAAGGUUGUGGGUUCAAAUAUCUUUGAUAUAUGUUAAUGUCUUUGAAGUGCAGAUGAAAUAAUUUCACCCUCCCUAAUCCUUUACGGUGAUGUGGUAAGUUGUUUAUGACUUAAUGCCUGAUAUAAUUCAUUUCUAAAUUUUGAUAUUGUUUAUUAAUAAGAUUGAUAUCGCUGUUCUUUUGUGAGAUUGAAGUCGUUAUUAUGCUUGUGAUAUACGUGUAUGCCUAUGUUGUUUUCAACAUGUUUUUCAUGGUUGAGUUUUAUUACAAGAAUAUUGUUAUAUAUGUUUGAUCGAGGAUGUUUCCAAGAGGAGUGUGAAUUGCAUGCUUUGGGUUACAAGGUAACCAUCGAUUUGGAUUUAAGUUGUUGGGCGGUUGGUGGAUAGCUCCAACUAUCUUGGCAAGGAAUGAUUGUUUAUGCCGAGAAACCAGUUCUGAAAGAAAUGAAUAUUGGUACUUUUAUAUGGAUUUUGGGGGGAAAGUCUUUACAUAGCUAGCCAGAGUGGAUUACAUGUCUCCCUUCUAUCUUGUGUUUUAGUAGCCACAAAGCCUAGAUGUGGUUUAAAGUGGUUGCAUGUUAGUCAUGCUAAUUGUAGAAUAAAUCUUUUAUUUUCUUGAUCCAUUGAUUAUAUAUUAAUACGUUGAGGAUCUGAUGGUUAUCUCCCUAAUGCAUGCUUGUGGAGCCAUUGUUGGACCACUUAUCUAUUGGUUUGAAUGAAGUCAUUGCCUAGCCUAGAGUUGGUUGGGUGUGGUAAGUCACCUAUUUCUAAAUGAUGUGGUUCUUACAUCAGAUUGAGAUGUUUGUCAUGUGUGUGAAGGAUUACAGGGUUAUUAUUGACCCUGUAUGUCUGGUACUUUGAGUGCAUCGUAUGAUGGAAUGAAAUGUAAGUUUUUGAACUACAGUAGAUGAAGACUUAUAUUAUGAGUAGGUUAACCUUACUAGUUUGGAUAUUUUUUAGUUGAGUUGUUGGAUGAAGUAUAGUGACAUUAGUUAAGCAAAGUAUUGUGUUGUUGUUGUGCUGUCAGUGCUCUUUGUGGAGUUUUUGGCAUUUGUUCGAUGAACUGUGCCGCACAGAAUGUUAUUGGCUUCUUGUUGGCUUUAUUGCUCCAUUAGUUCUGUAGACUUUCUCCCUUUUGUGGGGUGUAAAGAACGUUAGAUUACUUGAUUAUCUUUUUCAUGACGUCAAGAACAAGGUUUAGGAAGAUUAGGAGUUUUGUUUCAAUAGAACGACUUGUUUCGUGGUGCUUUGGUGUGAGGUGUUUGAUCUUCUUAUGCAUUCAUCUGGUGUGGAUGUUUGACAAUUGAAUUAAAAUGAAUUGUUGAAGUUGGUAAGAGUUGUUCUUAGUGCAUAUUACCUCUUCAUAAAAAGAGUGUUGUUUUAAGACAUUGAUCUUGAUGUAUAGUUGCAUCCAAAUUCAAUGAUAGCAAAUCCUAGUGUUGAUUGCACCUAUGACAAUGACUUGGGAAUUCAUUUUAUAUUGUUUUAUGAUUGUUGUCAAGGUGUGUCAUUUUCUUUGGUAAAUUAGUCCGACUUAGAGGUUAUUUCAUGAAAAACUCUUUUCAUGAUCUCGUCAAGGCUACUAGUCUACUAUAUGAGUCUAUUUAGGGUGUUUGGUCGAGUUUUACCGUUGGUGAAUGUCUUGAUUUGUAGAAGUGGCUGAAUUCGAGGACGAAUUCUUUUAAGGGGGGUAGAAUAUAAUACCCUAAAAACCAAACCAUGUUUAUAAUCCUAAUAUGGUGUGUCCUACUGAUGAUCGGAGACCGUAGAUGCAUAGAUAUCGUCGAGACGAUUCCGAUCGACUACUAGUUUGCCUUGUUUGGAGUCUGAAUGAGUUUUUUUCAAGUGCCGGUCGAUCUGAGCCAUUGGAUAUUAGGAUUGAGGGAGUUUUCUUCUAUUUAUACCUCCCUAACCCUAGCAGCCACGUCCUCCCACCCUAGCAGCCAUCCCCUUUUGUGCCUUGCCCAAGAGAAGAAAGGAAGAACAAGGGAGAGAAGAGAGGGAAGAUUAGGGCACACAGUCGCCUGUCGUCGUCAUCGUUCCUCUUCAAGAAUUGGUUGGAUUUCCUUUCCUCUCUCCAUUGUCCCCACUUGAUGGAUGUUUUACCUUGUUUUGGAUGAGUUUUAGGCCCUGCAAUUAGCCCUUUAUGUUGGAUUAGAUGGGAGAUUAGAUUUUUGAUCUCGAAAUUAGUCUCUGCAGAAUAACAGAUUCGAUAGUUUUUGUUCAUGCCAGUUUUCCGUGGUCUUAGAGGCCUCAAAAAAAUAAAAAGUAUAUUUAUGAGUUGUAGAUAAUUUAGAUAUCUUUCCGUGGCCGCGAAGAACACCUCAAUCGGACAUCAGAUCAGAAAGUUAUUGCAGUUUUAUUAUAGCAGUUUUUCAGUCUUAUAAUUAUGUGCAGAAUCUGUUCUAUUAAGAUUUAGGCAAUUUUAUCAACAGAAUUCAACCUUGGGUUUGUAAGAAAAGUUGUAGAUAAUUUUAUAAGCUUUCCAGAUUGUUAAAGAGUGCAUUCAUAUGAAUUAUGAAACUCUAGUUAUGUUUGUUUUACGGUGGCUGUUUCUGUUGGCCUGACAGAAAUGAGCGGGUCUGUUCACUGGUAGGUUUCAUCAAGUAAAUGGCCGAAUUGGCUCUCCCAGCUAUGGAGACUUUUGUAGAGGGAUAAAAGUUCUUACUUCCAGCAGAAUUUCAUGAUUUUUGGUUGAGUAGUUUGUGAGAUAUCGAAUUUUUAAAGUUAACUAUGCAGCUGUCUAAAACAGAUUCAGUCAGUUAUCUUGUAAUAUGUUUUAGACUUAUAGAUGGCAGAAUUUAAUUAUCUAUUGAAUACCGAAGUUGUAGAGUAUUUUGUGUAGAUACUUCUAGAGUAUUUGUUUGAUAUCACCACUGUUAUAAUUUUAAAGAUACAAAAUUAACAAACAACGCUGCUGCUGUUUGACAUGUGGUUCACGGUGGGAGUCUUUUCACCAGGUCUUGGUUUCAAGCGUAGGAACGAUUUGUUGAUUGUUGGCAAAUGUUUAUGAAAUAUUUGUACUAAGUUUUAUGCCCCGCAACAGGUGGUUAUGCUCCGGAUCAUGCUUAGUACAUUUUCUUCUUCGAUGAAGGCAAGUGAAUGUAGCGGUGGUUGCUUCCGUUCUGACCUGUUAUUUCUAUCGCCUACACUCUAAUAUUCAGAAGUAUCAGAUUCUUUCAUAAUUGGACUCUAUGGUGAUGCUUUACUUGCUUGCAUUAUACUGAUGCUCAAUCAUAUAUUGAUGAUGAUUAUGAUUUGAGUAUGACUCAUGAGAUUAAUUCACACCCCUGAAGGUAAAUGAAGUAUUAUUUGAGGUUGGUAUUGUAUCUGAAGGUAAAUGAAGUAUUAUUUGAGGUUGGUAUUGUAUCUGAAGGUAAAUGAAGUAUUAUUUGAGGUUUGUGUUGUAUCUGAAG